CCUACGGGAGGCUGCAGUGGGGAAUAUUGGACAAUGGGCGAAAGCCUGAUCCAGCCAUGCCGCGUGUGUGAAGAAGGCCUUCGGGUUGUAAAGCACUUUCAGUGGGGAAGAAAGCCUUGGGGCUAAUACCCUCGAGGAAGGACAUCACCCACAGAAGAAGCACCGGCUAACUCCGUGCCAGCAGCCGCGGUAAUACGGAGGGUGCGAGCGUUAAUCGGAAUUACUGGGCGUAAAGCGCGCGUAGGCGGUCUGAUAAGCCGGUUGUGAAAGCCCCGGGCUCAACCUGGGAACGGCAUCCGGAACUGUCAGGCUAGAGUGCAGGAGAGGAAGGUAGAAUUCCCGGUGUAGCGGUGAAAUGCGUAGAGAUCGGGAGGAAUACCAGUGGCGAAGGCGGCCUUCUGGACUGACACUGACGCUGAGGUGCGAAAGCGUGGGUAGCAAACAGGAUUAGAUCCUAGUAGUC
rnacentral:rRNA from 1 species